rnacentral:rRNA from 1 species
AAGCAUCUUCGGAUGUGUAUAAAGUGGCGAACGGCUGAGUAACACGUGGGCAACCUGCCCUUUGCACUGGGAUAGCCCCGGGAAACCGAGGUUAAUACCGGAUACUCCAUAUUUGUCGCAUGGCGAAUAUGGGAAAGCUCCGGCGGCAAAGGAUGGGCCCGCGGCCUGUUAGCUAGUUGGUGGGGUAGUGGCCUACCAAGGCAAUGAUGGGUAGCCGGGUUGAGAGACCGACCGGCCAGAUUGGGACUGAGACACGGCCCAGACUCCUACGGGAGGCAGCAGUGGGGAAUCUUGCACAAUGGGCGAAAGCCUGAUGCAGCGACGCCGCGUGCGGGAUGAAGGCCUUCGGGUUGUAAACCGCUUUCAGCAGGGACGAGGGCCGCAAGGUGACGGUACC